rnacentral:rRNA from 1 species
UCCGUAGGCGGGCGUCUAAGUCAGUGGUGAAAUCUUACAGCUCAACUGUAAAAUUGCCAUUGAUGCUGGAUGUCUUGAAUUAGUGUGAAGUGGUUAGAAUGUGUAGUGUAGCGGUGAAAUGCAUAGAUAUUACACAGAAUACCAAUUGCGAAGGCAGAUCACUAACACUAUAUUGACGCUGAGGGACGAAAGCGUGGGGAGCGAACAGGAUUAGAUACCCUGGUAGUCC